rnacentral:rRNA from 1 species
CUUUGCUACACACCGCCCGUCGCUACUACCGAUUGAAUGGCUCAGUGAGGCGUCCGGACUGGCCCAGAGAGGUGGGCAACUACCACUCAGGGCCGGAAAGCUCUCCAAACUCGGUCAUUUAGAGGAAGUAAAAGUCGUAACAAGGUCUCCGUUGGUGAACCAGCGGAGGGAUCAUUACCGAGUUUAC